GACGAACGCUGGCGGCGUGCUUAACACAUGCAAGUCGAACGGAAAGGCCUGCUUUCCCUUGUGGAUUGCGGGUACUCGAGUGGCGAACGGGUGAGUAACACGUGAGUGAUCUGCCCCCAACUUGGGUAUAAGCCUGGGAAACUGGGUCUAAUUCCCGAUAGGACUGUAGGGUGGUGCCUGUGGUGGAAAACGAUUUUCUAGUGGUUGGGGAUGAGCUCGCGGCCUAUCAGCUUGUUGGUGGGGUAAUGGCCUACCAAGGCGGCGACGGGUAGCCGGCCUGAGAGGGUGGACGGCCACAUUGGGACUGAGAUACGGCCCAGACUCCUACGGGAGGCAGCAGUGGGGAAUAUUGCACAAUGGGCGGAAGCCUGAUGCAGCGACGCCGCGUGGGGGAUGACGGCCUUCGGGUUGUAAACUCCUUUCGACCGCGAGGAAGCCACCUGGUUGGAAGGGUGGUGACGGUAGUGGUAGAAGAAGCACCGGCUAACUACGUG
rnacentral:rRNA from 1 species